CACGCCGUAAACGAUGAAUACUAGGUGUAGGGGGCGAAGCCCUCUGUGCCGCAGUUAACACAAUAAGUAUUCCGCCUGGGAAGUACGAUCGCAAGAUUAAAACUCAAAGGAAUUGACGGGGGCCCGCACAAGCAGCGGAGCAUGUGGUUUAAUUCGACGCAACGCGAAGAACCUUACCAAGGCUUGACAUCCUGAGAAUCCUGUGGAAACAUAGGAGUGCCUUCGGGAACUCAGAGACAGGUGG
rnacentral:rRNA from 1 species